UACGUAGGAUGCGAGCGUUGUCCGGAAUUAUUGGGCGUAAAGAGCUCGUAGGCGGUCUGUCGCGUCGGAUGUGAAAAUCCAGGGCUCAACCCUGGACCUGCAUUCGAUACGGGCAGACUAGAGUUCGGCAGGGGAGACUGGAAUUCCUGGUGUAGCGGUGAAAUGCGCAGAUGUCAGGAGGAACACCGAUGGCGAAGGCAGAUCUCUGGGCCGUAACUGACGCUGGAGGAGCGAAAGCGUGGGGAGCGAACAGG
rnacentral:rRNA from 1 species